GACGAACGCUGGCGGCGUGCUUUAGGCAUGCAAGUCGAACGCGAAAGCCCCUUCGGGGGUGAGUAGAGUGGCGAACGGGUGAGUAACACGUGGGUAACCUGCCCCUCGCAGGGGGAUAACCGGGGGAAACCCCGGCUAAUACCCCGUACGCUUGCUGGGGCGCAUGCUCCGGCAAGGAAAGGUAGCUUCGGCCAUCCGGCGAGGGAGGGGCCCGCGGCCCAUUGGCUGGUUGGUGGGGUAACGGCCCACCCAGGCGACGAUGGGUAGCUGGCCUGAGAGGGGGGUAAGCAAAACUGGGACUGGGACACGGCCCAGACUCCUAGGGGGGGCAGCAGCCGGGAAUCUUGCGCAAUGGGCGAAAGCCGGACGAAGCAACGCGGGGUGGGGGAUGAAGGCCUUCGGGUCGUAAAGCCCUGUUGUCGGGGACGAAGGGAGAAGGGUUAAUAGCCCCUAGCCUGACGGUACCCGACGAGGAAGCCCCGGCUAACUACGUG
rnacentral:rRNA from 1 species